UUGAGUUACUGAACUCCAAACCACUGUGAACUUACCACUGUUGCUUCGGCUGUUUCUGUAGUCUUGAGACCUCAGAUCUAGCCGAAGGUAAUUAAACUCUUGUUUCUGAUAGUAUCUUCUGAGUAUGGUACGCAAAUAAAUCA
rnacentral:misc_RNA from 1 species